ACACGACUACAUUAGAUACCCGGGUAGUCCUAGCCGUAAACGAUACUCGCUAGGUGUCAGCCACGGUGCGACCGUUGUCGGUGCCGUAGGGAAGCCGUGAAGCGAGCCACCUGGGAAGUACGGCCGCAAAGGCUGAAACGUUAAAGGAAUUGGCGGGGAGCACAACAACGGGUGGAGCUUGCGGUUUAAUUGGAUUCAACGCCGGAAAUCUUACCGGGACCGACAGCAACAUGAAGGCCAAGCUGAAGACUUUGCCGGAUUAGCUG
rnacentral:rRNA from 1 species